rnacentral:rRNA from 1 species
GAUGAACGCUGGCGGCGUGCUUAACACAUGCAAGUCGAGCGAGAAGUUUUGAAAAGAUUCUUCGGAUGAAAUUUAAAAUGGAAAGCGGCGGACGGGUGAGUAACGCCUAGGCAACCUGCCCCAUACAAAGGGAUAGCAUUUGGAAACGAAUAUUAAUACCUUAUGAAACUUAACUAGUGCAUGCUAGGUAGGUCAAAGAUUUAUCGGUAUGGGAUGGGCCUGCGUCUGAUUAGCUAGUUGGAGAGGUAACGGCUCACCAAGGGGACGAUCAGUAGCCGACCAGCGAGGGUGAACGGCCACAUUGGAACGGAGGCACGGUCCAAACUCCUACGGGAGGCAGCAGUAGGGAAAAUUGCAAAAUGGGGGAAAGCCAGAUGCAGCAACGGAGCGUGAAAGAUGAAGACCUUUGGGUCGUAAAGUUCUGUUCUAGGAGAUGAAAACUGACAGUACCCAAGGAGAAAGCCCCGGCUAACUCCGUG